rnacentral:rRNA from 1 species
AAGCCCACCUCAAGAUGAGAUUUCCCAUGAUUUUAUAUCAAUAAGAGCCCUGAGAGAUGAUCAGGUAGAUAGGUUAGGAGUUUAAUUGUGGUGACACAUUUAGCGGACUAAUACUAAUAGCUCGAGGACUUAUCCAAAA